rnacentral:rRNA from 1 species
UACGGAAGCAGCAGUGGGGAAUAUUGCACAAUGGGCGAAAGCCUGAUGCAGCUAUGCCGCGUGUAUGAAGAAGGCCUUAGGGUUGUAAAGUACUUUCAUCGGGGAGGAAAAACAAAACUAAUAAUUUUAUUUCUUGACGUUACCCGAAAAAGAAGCACCGGCUAACUCCGUGCCAGCAGCCGCGGUAAUACGGAGGGUGCUAGCGUUAAUCAGAAUUACUGGGCGUAAAGAGCACGUAGGUGGUUUUUUAAGUCAGAUGUGAAAUCCCUGGGCUUAACCUAGGAACUGCAUUUUGAAACUGAAAUACUAGAGUAUCGUAGAGGGAGGUAGAAUUCUAGGUGUAGCGGUGAAAUGCGUAGAUAUCUGGAGGAAUACCUGUGGCGAAAGCGGCCUCCUAAACGAAUACUGACACUGAGGUGCGAAAGCGUGGGGAGCAAACAGGGAUUAGAUACC